AUUGAACGCUGGCGGCAGGCUUAACACAUGCAAGUCGAGCGGGGGAAGGUAGCUUGCUACCGGACCUAGCGGCGGACGGGUGAGUAAUGCUUAGGAAUCUGCCUAUUAGUGGGGGACAACAUCUCGAAAGGGAUGCUAAUACCGCAUACGUCCUACGGGAGAAAGCAGGGGAUCUUCGGACCUUGCGCUAAUAGAUGAGCCUAAGUCGGAUUAGCUAGUUGGUGGGGUAAAGGCCUACCAAGGCGACGAUCUGUAGCGGGUCUGAGAGGAUGAUCCGCCACACUGGGACUGAGACACGGCCCAGACUCCUACGGGAGGCAGCAGUGGGGAAUAUUGGACAAUGGGGGGAACCCUGAUCCAGCCAUGCCGCGUGCGUGAAG
rnacentral:rRNA from 1 species